UAAGCCGCCUGCGGAGAGUGGCUGGACUCUUCCUUCGAUGAAGGUGAGAAGUUCAGUCCUCGAGGAGCCACUUGGACUCGAGCCGCUGCUCCUCAACGCCGGAGAGGAGCCAAUUGAGGUGAGACCCGUGAAUGCUCCUGCGCUCCCGGCCUCAGACUAGCGCCCACCACUGACUCCUGCAACAUGUGAGAUCUGGAUCUGCUCGGGUGAAGCCUUCUGAAACCAUUACGCUGUUAUCACCAAGCACAAGCCGGGACACAGAAGUCCACGGGGAGCGUGACCGUGGGAUAGUCCGCAGAGCGUAUCAGGCUGGGAGGAGGCGGCGGUCCACCGCCGUGGCUCAGUGAAAGGGCAGGGGAGACGCCGCGGAGGACUUUACAUGCUGUCAAAGCAACGCGACGUGGAUUCAGGCCGCUGUGAAGAUGUGACGAGGGCUUAAGGAGCGCGGUGACAGAGAGGCUUCUCCUCCUUCAACAACACAUGCACGUGGGAAGGCCUUUUGUUUUCUCACGAUGGAGGAGCAAAACCUCACUGCAGCGUUUGAAUGAAGGAAGACGAGAGGAGAAUCGUCUUGACAGAUUUUAUUAUCCUGCUCUCUUUCUUCUUCUUUUUUCACAUAUUUCACAGGGGACAAGUCAUGACACUGCGCUCGCAUAUUCAGUCACGGAGCCUGCAAUCUGGCCCGUCAGCAUAUUUCCACUCAGCCCUCACUUCUAAUGCAAACGAUCUAUUAUUAUGUCUCCGGUUUCUGACGGUAACAUGUGCUCGCAUGCCGAGGCCGGUUUCUGCAGGGCUGCAGUUUCACAGUUCUCUUCAUGAGAGAGAAAAGCACAAGAAAUCUGGGAGUAAAAAGAUCACUUAUAGUCAUUUUUAUUUGCUUUUUUAAG